UCAUCUCCGGGGGUAGAGCACUGUUUCGGCAAGGGGGUCAUCCCGACUUACCAACCCGAUGCAAACUGCGAAUACCGGAGAAUGUUAUCACGGGAGACACACGGCGGGUGCUAACGUCCGUCGUGAAGAGGGAAACAACCCAGACCGCCAGCUAAGGUCCCAAAGUCAUGGUUAAGUGGGAAACGAUGUGGGAAGGCCCAGACAGCCAGGAUGUUGGCUUAGAAGCAGCCAUCAUUUAAAGAAAGCGUAAUAGCUCACUGGUCGAGUCGGCCUGCGCGGAAGAUGUAACGGGGCUAAACCAUGCACCGAAGCUGCGGCAGCGACACUAUGUGUUGUUGGGUAGGGGAGCGUUCUGUAAGCCUGUGAAGGUGUACUGUGAGGUAUGCUGGAGGUAUCAGAAGUGCGAAUGCUGACAUAAGUAACGAUAAAGCGGGUGAAAAGCCCGCUCGCCGGAAGACCAAGGGUUCCUGUCCAACGUUAAUCGGGGCAGGGUGAGUCGACCCCUAAGGCGAGGCCGAAAGGCGUAGUCGAUGGGAAACAGGUUAAUAUUCCUGUACUUGGUGUUACUGCGAAGGGGGGACGGAGAAGGCUAUGUUGGCCGGGCGACGGUUGUCCCGGUUUAAGCGUGUAGGCUGGUUUUCCAGGCAAAUCCGGAAAAUCAAGGCUGAGGCGUGAUGACGAGGCACUACGGUGCUGAAGCAACAAAUGCCCUGCUUCCAGGAAAAGCCUCUAAGCAUCAGGUAACAUCAAAUCGUACCCCAAACCGACACAGGUGGUCAGGUAGAGAAUACCAAGGCGCUUGAGAGAACUCGGGUGAAGGAACUAGGCAAAAUGGUGCCGUAACUUCGGGAGAAGGCACGCUGAUAUGUAGGUGAAGUCCCUCGCGGAUGGAGCUGAAAUCAGUCGAAGAUACCAGCUGGCUGCAACUGUUUAUUAAAAACACAGCACUGUGCAAACACGAAAGUGGACGUAUACGGUGUGACGCCUGCCCGGUGCCGGAAGGUUAAUUGAUGGGGUUAGCGGUAACGCGAAGCUCUUGAUCGAAGCCCCGGUAAACGGCGGCCGUAACUAUAACGGUCCUAAGGUAGCGAAAUUCCUUGUCGGGUAAGUUCCGACCUGCACGAAUGGCGUAAUGAUGGCCAGGCUGUCUCCACCCGAGACUCAGUGAAAUUGAACUCGCUGUGAAGAUGCAGUGUACCCGCGGCAAGACGGAAAGACCCCGUGAACCUUUACUAUAGCUUGACACUGAACAUUGAGCCUUGAUGUGUAGGAUAGGUGGGAGGCUUUGAAGUGUGGACGCCAGUCUGCAUGGAGCCGACCUUGAAAUACCACCCUUUAAUGUUUGAUGUUCUAACGUUGACCCGUGAUCCGGGUUGCGGACAGUGUCUGGUGGGUAGUUUGACUGGGGCGGUCUCCUCCUAAAGAGUAACGGAGGAGCACGAAGGUUGGCUAAUCCUGGUCGGACAUCAGGAGGUUAGUGCAAUGGCAUAAGCCAGCUUGACUGCGAGCGUGACGGCGCGAGCAGGUGCGAAAGCAGGUCAUAGUGAUCCGGUGGUUCUGAAUGGAAGGGCCAUCGCUCAACGGAUAAAAGGUACUCCGGGGAUAACAGGCUGAUACCGCCCAAGAGUUCAUAUCGACGGCGGUGUUUGGCACCUCGAUGUCGGCUCAUCACAUCCUGGGGCUGAAGUAGGUCCCAAGGGUAUGGCUGUUCGCCAUUUAAAGUGGUACGCGAGCUGGGUUUAGAACGUCGUGAGACAGUUCGGUCCCUAUCUGCCGUGGGCGCUGGAGAACUGAGGGGGGCUGCUCCUAGUACGAGAGGACCGGAGUGGACGCAUCACUGGUGUUCGGGUUGUCAUGCCAAUGGCACUGCCCGGUAGCUAAAUGCGGAAGAGAUAAGUGCUGAAAGCAUCUAAGCACGAAACUUGCCCCGAGAUGAGUUCUCCCUGACUCCUUGAGAGUCCUGAAGGAACGUUGAAGACGACGACGUUGAUAGGCCGGGUGUGUAAGCGCAGCGAUGCGUUGAGCUAACCGGUACUAAUGAACCGUGAGGCUUAACCUU
rnacentral:rRNA from 1 species